rnacentral:lncRNA from 1 species
GCCUUUCUCUCUGACUCUUUCUUACCCGCCCCGGAGCACAGGGAAUCCUUACUCCAGGUAAACAAGAGAAACUCCUUCUGACAAAUCACAUUUUCUUCUUUGCCUAUCGCUUAGACCAGAACCUAAAAUCUGAAACUCAGGAGAACAGGAUUCUUAAAACUCAAUGCCCACCUCUUCCCCCUCCCCAUCCCAACCCCAGCUUUGUAUUGUCUCAAAGGUGUUGGCUCUGGAGUUCCCUGGUGGCCUAGUGGGUUAGGAAUCUGGUAUUGUCACUGCUGUGGUGCGGGACUGAUCCCUGGCCUGGAACUUCCACAUGCCUUGGGUGUGCCACCCCCCAAAAAAGCAUUGGCUCUGCCUUGAGUUUAAAAUUUCUAUGAUGAAUCUCAGAAGCUGGCCUUAGAAUGGAUAAGCAAUGAGGUCCUACUGUACAGCAUAGGGAACUCUGUCCAAUCUCUUGGGACAGAUCAUAAUGGAAGAUAGUAUAAGAAAAAGAAUGUGUAUAUAUACGUGUGACUGGGUCACUUUGCUGUAUAGCAGAAAUUGACAAAACACGGUACAUUAACUAUACUCUAAUAAAAAUAAAAUAUUUUAAAAAGACAAAGAAAAAAAAGCUGGCCUUAGACUUGUUUGCUUUUUAUUUUCAUUUCUUCUGUAAGUGUUGUCAUUUGGGCAACAAGCCAGAAAUGCCCCAGCUGCCUUGUUAGAAACAAAAGUACAAAGGAAUGUGGGGAAAAAUGCGUACCUGGUUUCAUCUUUCAUAUCAUUCCCAUACAGGUGCAGUUAUGCGACUAUAGAAGGACCACGAAGCCUUGGAAGGCAGCCAGUUCCAAAAAGGUUCCACAACCCAAACCCAAAUGCUCUCCAUCUGGAACUCAAGAAGACACAGUUCUGUCUCCAAGAAGGUGUUGCAGAAACCCAACUAACCAAGCCUGUUACCCCAAAGCUUAUUGUGAGAGCCAUGAUGUAUAAUAGGCAGCUUUCCCAAGGUUUGUAUUUUAGAACAUUUGUGGGAGUUCAAGCC